rnacentral:rRNA from 1 species
GCUGGCGGCGGGCCUACACAUGCAAGUCUUACGAGGUCCAUCCGGUGGCAACACCAGGGUCGGCCUAGUGGCGAACGGGUGAGUAACACGUGAGGAACCUGCCCCGAAGACUGGGAUAACUCUCCGAAAGGAGUGCUAAUACCAGAUGUCCUCUUACGGUCGCAUGGCUGUUUGAGGAAAGGUCCGCUGCUUCGGGAGGGCCUCGCGGCCUAUCAGCUUGUUGGUGGGGUAACGGCCCACCAAGGCGACGACGGGUAGCUGGUCUGAGAGGACGAUCAGCCACACUGGGUACUGAGACACGGCCCAGACUCCUACGGGAGGCAGCAGUGGGGAAUCUUGCGCAAUGGGCGAAAGCCUGACGCAGCAACGCCGCGUGCGGGAUGACGGCCUUCGGGUUGUAAACCGCUUUCAGUGGGGACGAAAACAGACGGUACCCACAGAAGAAGCCCCGGCCAACUACGUGCCAGCAGCCGCGGUAACACGUAGGGGGCAAGCGUUGUCCGGAAUCAUUGGGCGUAAAGAGCUCGUAGGCGGCUCAAUAAGUCGGGUGUGAAACCUCCAGGCUCAACCUGGAGACGCCACCCGAUACUACUGUGGCUAGAGUCCAGUA